rnacentral:rRNA from 1 species
GUGGGGAAUAUUGGGCAAUGGGGGCAACCCUGACCCAACAACGCCGCGUGAGGGAAGAAGGUUUUCGGAUUGUAAACCUCUGUCCUAUGGGAAGAAGGAAGUGACGGUACCAUAGGAGGAAGCCCCGGCUAACUACGUGCCAGCAGCCGCGGUAAUACGUAGGGGGCGAGCGUUGUCCGGAAUUACUGGGCGUAAAGGGUGCGCAGGUGGCCUGACAAGUCAGAUGUGAAAUACCGAUGCUUAACGUCGGGGCUGCAUUUGAAACUAUGAGGCUGGAGUGCAGGAGAGGGAAGCGGAAUUCCUAGUGUAGCGGUGAAAUGCAUAGAUAUUAGGAGGAACACCAGUGGCGAAGGCGGCUUUCUGGACUGUAACUGACACUGAGGCACGAAAGCGUGGGGAGCAAACAGGAUUAGAUACCCUGGUAGUCC